rnacentral:lncRNA from 1 species
GGCGAUUGAAAGUUAUAGUUAUAAUUUUAAAACAACACAAACAAUAUUAGUGUAAAAUAUAUAGUUUGAGCUAAUCAUUGUACAUUAUUUAUAAAAUCAGAUAAAUAUAUUUAAAAGUUAAGUGUUCGUAACAAAAUUAUUUAUUAUAAAAAAAAGCAGAUCUCCUGUUUUUUCCAUAAAAAAGAUAAAAAUAUUGAACUGCAUGCAGAUUUCCCGCUUAAACUGCUUUUGCAAACAGAAAAACGUGAAUGGCGAAUGUAUUAUGAGAGAACUGCACGUGGAGGAGAACUGCCCUUUCAUUCAUAACCUAAAUGCCUCCAAUCAUUCGAUAGAAAAUAAAAAACUAAA